CUCUCUCUCUCUCUCUCUCUCUCUCUCUCUCUCUCUCUCUCUCUCUCUCUCUCUCUCUCUUUCUCUUUCUCUCUCUCUCUCUCUCUCUCUCUCUCUCUCUCUCUCUCUGUCUCUCUCUCUCUCUCUCUCUCUCUCUCUCUCUCUCUCUCUCUCUCUCUCUCUCUCUCUCUCCUUCUGUCCUUUCUUUUAGUUUUCUUUUAUUCAAGUUGACUAGGUCUUUCUUUUUUCUGUGGUGUGUGUGGAGUUAAUAAUACGCAUUUCAUUUCGCACUCAAGGAGUCACUGAAAAAACAACGAAACUUUCCGAUCCCUUAAGAGGGUUAUUUUAGCCUGGGAUAAAAAGAGUAUAAUUGAAUUCAAUAGCGUCACUUCCUCAAAGUGUCCCCGGUAAAGGACAUCAUCCAUCCACUAGCAGGGAUUGAAAAGUUUUGACAGUUUCUUUGGGGAGUCCUUGAGUGUUUUUCCUGGUACUACAGAUCUACUGUAACUCCAAGACUCGUGGAACAGUGUUCUUCCAUUUUCUUCUUGUCCUGGACAAGUUCUCCAGAGGAGAUCACAGAGAACUGUCACAUGGGGUUUUUGGCUAGAAAGGAUAUAAAGCUUUUGUCAGCUUUUGUCAGAUUUGACUUUUCGUAGCAGGUUAGGACAUCUUUACGUAGCAGGUUAGGACAUCUUUACGUAGCAGGUUAGGACAUCUUUACGUAGCAGGUUAGGACAUCUUUACGUAGCAGGUUAGGACAUCUUUACGUAGCAGGUUAGGACAUCUUUACGUAGCAGGUUAGGACAUCUUACGUAGCAGGUUAGGACAUCUUUACGUAGCAGGUUAGGACAUCUUUACGUAGCAGGUUAGGACAUCUUACGUAGCAGGUUAGGACAUCUUUACGUAGCAGGUUAGGACAUCUUUACGUAGCAGGUUAGGACAUCUUUACGUAGCAGGUUAGGACAUCUUUACGUAGCAGGUUAGGACAUCUUUACGUAGCAGGUUAGGACAUCUUUACGUAGCAGGUUAGGACAUCUUACGUAGCAGGUUAGGACAUCUUUACGUAGCAGGUUAGGACAUCUUUACGUAGCAGGUUAGGACAUCUUACGUAGCAGGUUAGGAAAGUGAACCUAGAAGGUUACGAGAAUUCGGUUAAGGUUCGGAAAAUGGUUACGGUUAGGGUUAGCUAAAGUGCAAAAAAAAACUACUUUGAAUGGCAAUUUGACAAAAUAUCCAUAUCCUUUCUAGCCAUGAGGCUCUUCCUGUGCUGAUGUGUCUCAUCAAACCUGAAAUGAAUUGCAACCGCAGUAGAGAGUCGACAAAGCCCCCGUUUCCUAAGACAUUUGCUUUUUUUCAGAUUCUUGUGCAUUUUUUCACUUUCCCCUAUAAUGUAAUUAAAGACAGCUAUCUGUGAUAGAAAAGAUCACACGGUGCUACUUUUAACUUUUAAGAUUUUGGAAAUGAAUCCCUUUUAUGUUCUGCCCCUGAGUCAGAUGAACUCGUAGAUACCAUUUGUAUGUUCUGCACCUGAGUCAGAUGAACUCGUAGAUACCAUUUUAAUGUUCUUCCACUGAGUCAGAUGAACUCGUAGAUACCAUUUUAAUGUUCUUCCCCUGAGUCAGAUGAAAUCGUAGAUACCAUUUUUAUGUCUCUGUGUGAGGGAAGUUAGAGGUAACAUGCUAGCAGAUAUUCCCGGGGGGCGCAGCUGUCUAAGGCAAUGCAUCUCAGUGCUAGAGGCGUCACUACAGACCCGGGUUUGGUCCCAGGGUAAAUAAGAUCUGGUGCAAUCAAUUACCUUCAGAAGUCACAUAAUUAGUUUUUAAAAAGUCCACCUGUGUGCAAUCUAAGUGUCACAUGAUCUGUCACAUGAUCUCAGUAUAUAUACACCUGUUCUGAAAGGCCCCAGAGUCUGCAACACCACUAAGCAAGGGGCACCACCAAGCAAGCGGCACCAUGAAGACCAAGGAGUUCUCCAAACAGGUCAGGGACAAAGUUGAGGAGAAGUACAGAUCAGGGUUGGGUUAUAAAAAAUAUCAGCAACUUUGACCAUCCCACGGAGCACCAUUAAAUCCAUUAUUAAAAAUUGGAAAGAAUAUGGCACCACAACAAACCUGCCAAGAGAGGGCCGCCCACCAAACCUCACAGACCAGGCAAGGAGGGCAUUCAUCAGAGAGGCAACAAGCGACCAAAGAUAACCCGAAGGAGCUGCAAAGCUCCACAGCGUAGACUGGAGUAUCUGUCCAUAGGACCACUUUAAGCCGUACACUCCACAGAGCUGGGCUUUAUGGAAGAGUGGCCAGAUAAAAAGCCAUUGCUUAAAGAAAAAAAAUAAGCAAACACGUUUGGUGUUCACCAAAAGGCCUGUGGGAGACUCCCCAAACAUAUGGAAGAAGGUGGUCAGAUGAGAUUAAAAUUGACCUUUUUGGCCAUCAAGAAAAAUGCUGUCUGGCGCAAACCCAACACCUCACAUCACACCGAGAACACCAUCCCCACAGUGAAGCAUGGUAGUGGCAGCAUCAUCUGUUGGGGUGUUUUUCAUCAGCAGGGAAACUGGUCAGAAUUGAAGGAAUGAUGAAUGGUGCUAAAUACAGGGAAAUUCUUGAGGGAAACCUGUUCCAGUCUUCCAGAGAUUUGAGACUGGGACAGAGGUUCACCUUCCAGCAGGACAAUGACCAUAAGCAUACUGCUAAAGCAACACUCGAGUGGUUUAAAGGGAAACAUUUAAAUGUCUUGGUAUGGCCUAGUCAAAGUCCAGACCUCAAUCCAAUUGAGAAUCUGUAGAACCCACCAGCAGAACCCAUCCAACUUGAAGGAGCUGGAUCAGUUUUGCCUUGAAGAAUGGACAAAAAUCCCAGUGGCUGGAUGUGCCAAGCUUAAAGAGACAAACCCCAAGAGACUUGCAGCUGUAAUUGCUGUAGAAGGUGGCUCUACAAUGUAUUGACUUUUUUUUUGGGGGGGG